AGGAUUUUGAGUUUAUGAGUUUAGAUUCUACAAAAAGCAAAUUACUGGUUCUUGAUAGGUGGAUUUUUUUUUUAACACAAAUACAAAAUCUGGCCGGCCAAAGCUACACGGUAGGCUAGCUCAAGCCGUGCUUGCUGGAAGGUAGUGAUGGAGGCCCGAGUUAGGAGGAGAGUGUUUCUCUUAUUGGUUUCAUGUAUAUGGGUGCCUAUGGCGGUUCUUGGUGGGAUUGAGAAUGUCACUGUCUCUUCCUUGUCUUGGCCAAAAGUGGUGAAGUUUGGAGCUUUAUUCACAGUAAAUUCAGUCAUCGGAAGUUCUGUAAUGCCCGCCAUUUUAGCUGCAGUCGAUGAUGUUAAUGCUGAUUCUACAGUACUUAGUGGGACCAAAUUGCACGUCGUAACACAGGAUACAAAUUGCAGUGGAUUCAUAGGCACUAUUGAUGCUUUGCAGCUGAUGGAAAAAGAAGUCGUUGUUGCGGUGGGUCCGCAAUCCUCUGGAAUAGCACAUGUCAUUUCUCAUGUAGUGAAUGAACUUCGUGUCCCACUUUUGUCUUUUGCAACUGAUCCUACUCUUUCCUCUCUUCAGUACCAAUAUUUUCUUAGAACUGUCACAAGUGAUUACUUCCAGAUGUAUGCUAUUGCUGAUCUGGUUGAUUAUUAUGGAUGGAAGGAGGUUAUAGCCAUAUUUGUUGAUGAUGACAAUGGUAGAAAUGGGAUAUCGGUGUUGGGUGAUGCCCUUGCAAAGAAGCGGGCCAAGAUCUCUUAUAAAGCAGCCUUUUCUCCUGGAGCAACUAUGAGUGAUCGAUGACUUGUUAGUUAGUGUGAACCUUAUGGAGG
rnacentral:misc_RNA from 1 species